rnacentral:rRNA from 1 species
UACUAGUUGUUGGGUCUUAAUUGACUUAGUAACGCAGCUAACGCGUGAAGUAGACCGCCUGGGGAGUACGGUCGCAAGAUUAAAACUCAAAGGAAUUGACGGGGACCCGCACAAGCGGUGGAUGAUGUGGAUUAAUUCGAUGCAACGCGAAAAACCUUACCUACCCUUGACAUGGCAGGAAUCCCGGAGAGAUUUGGGAGUGCUCGAAAGAGAACCUGCACACAGGUGCUGCAUGGCUGUCGUCAGCUCGUGUCGUGAGAUGUUGGGUUAAGUCCCGCAACGAGCGCAACCCUUGUCAUUAGUUGCUACGCAAGAGCACUCUAAUGAGACUGCCGGUGACAAACCGGAGGAAGGUGGGGAUGACGUCAAGUCCUCAUGGCCCUUAUGGGUAGGGCUUCACACGUCAUACAAUGGUACAUACAGAGGGCCGCCAACCCGCGAGGGGGAGCUAAUCCCAGAAAGUGUAUCGUAGUCCGGAUUGUAGUCUGCAACUCGACUACAUGAAGUUGGAAUCGCUAGUAAUCGCGGAUCAGCAUGUCGCGGUGAAUACGUUCCCGGGUCUUGUACACACCGCCCGUCACACCAUGGGAGCGGGUUUUACCAGAAGUAGGUAGCUUAACCGCAAGGAGGGCGCUUACCACGGUAGGAUUCGUGACUGGGGUGAAGUCGUAACAAGGUAACCA